CCUACGGGUGGCAGCAGUGGGGAAUAUUGGACAAUGGGGGCAACCCUGAUCCAGCCAUGCCGCGUGUGUGAAGAAGGCCCUCGGGUUGUAAAGCACUUUCAGUGAGGAAGAACGCCUGGUGGUUAAUACCCAUCAGGAAAGACAUCACUUACAGAAGAAGCACCGGCUAACUCCGUGCCAGCAGCCGCGGUAAUACGGAGGGUGCGAGCGUUAAUCGGAAUUACUGGGCGUAAAGCGCGCGUAGGUGGCUUGAUAAGCCGGUUGUGAAAGCCCCGGGCUCAACCUGGGAACGGCAUCCGGAACUGUCAAGCUAGAGUGUAGGAGAGGAAGGUAGAAUUCCCGGUGUAGCGGUGAAAUGCGUAGAGAUCGGGAGGAAUACCAGUGGCGAAGGCGGCCUUCUGGACUGACACUGACACUGAGGUGCGAAAGCGUGGGUAGCAAACAGGAUUAGAUACCCUUGUAGUC
rnacentral:rRNA from 1 species